UUCAGGGAAAAAACUAAGAGGUUAUGUCCCUGUAACUGUUCCACUUGAGGUGUUGAGAGAUAAAUGGCCUUUCGUGAGAACAGCAAAGCAAAUGCUUUACACAUUAUAGAUAAACAUAGAUACAUGAUAAAAAUAAAAGAAAUUAAUCAAUAAGCAAAGGGCAGGAGGGGACGUUAUGACAAAACAAUCAUGUUAUUCCUUAUUGGGUGAUUAUACAAAGGGACAAUUUUAGAAUUGGGUAAUGUUAGAAAAACAUAGAUGGCGUACGUUACAAGGAAAUCAUUCGCAUAUAUAAUGCCGCGUUUACUGCAAUAAAUCGGCCAGUUCAACACACUGCUGUUGUGUGUCCAUUUUUAUUUUAGUUUUUUAUUUUAGUUUUUUGUUUUUGUUUUUAUUUUUGUUUUGUUUUAUUUUCACUUUUUUGCCGACGCCGUUCAUCCUUCGGGAACCCCCGGACCUGCCGGAGCUGGACUCUGGCAGGGGUGGCUCUUAUCCGCUCGGGGACCACACCUUAAUCUGGCUGAGACUUUCAACGAGUGCCCCUCUCCCCACGUGUCAGAAUGUGAGCAUUUCUUUUCCUGGGCUGGUGCUGCUGUCAUCCGCUGGUUCAUGAUGGCCACUCCCCCGCCUGCAGCAGAAGUCACGGGAAGGGGACGAGGGGCAAAGGCGGGUCCACCAGCUCCCCUUUAACUGCUUAUGCCCAGAGCAUCGUAUACUUCGUUCUACUCAUCUUUCACCGGCCAGAAGAACCCAGCUGAGUGAGCACACCCAGCAGCAAGAGAGACUGAAAAUGGCAGUCCUUCCCCUGGAGAUCAUGCACCUAGCCGGAAAUCAGGCCCAGCAAUCACGUGAGCCAGAAGGAAGGAGUAGACAUUGAGCAACUCCCAGCAACCUCUACGGUGUUGCUGAAGACGCCCAUCUGGACAGGAGGCCAUCCUAGACCCGCACAGUGAGAAUGUGCCUCCCUAUGCUCCUCCCUGCAGCAUGCCGGCCAUCGUGUGCCGGAAGAUGGUUAGCCGUGGAGGGGCCUGGCUUCCCCUGAUAGCGGGGGCGCCUGCGGGCAGGCAGGGGCCCCUGGAAUCUCGCAGGCGCAGGACCCAGAUUUGGGCACCAAGUGAAGCCAGGAAUUUCAGGAGUCCUGGGGUUGCCUGAGCGUGUUCAUUCAGCUCCCGAGGGAACACCCCUCGGCCUGGUGAAGGGAAAAGCGAUAGCAGGCCUCUGCUGCUUUUCUAACCCUGCCUCACAAAUGACCACAAAGUCAGGGCUUAAAAUAAUGCCCAGUUCUUACAUUUUAGCGCAGGUCAAAAGUCCAGGAGGGCCUGAGUUCUCUGUCUAGGUUUUACAAGACCAAAAUCAAGUGUUCAGCCAGACUGGGCUCUCAUUCGGAACCCGUGGUAAGAAACUUCAAAUCCCCCUCCAAUCCAAUCUCUGAUUCCUCCUCUGUGAAGAGCAGAGAACAUUCUCUGCUUUUAAAGGGUUCAUGUGACUGGGCACCUGGGUGGCUCGGUCAGUUGGGCGUCCAACUUUGGCUCGGGUCAUGAUCUCAUGGUUCGUGAGUUCAAGCUCGGUGUUGGGCUCUGUGCUGACAGCUCAGAGCCUGGAGCCUGCUUUGGAUUCUGUGUCUCCGUUUCUCUCUGGCCCUCCCCCGCUUAUUCUCUCUCUCUCUCUCUCAAAACUAAAUAAAUAUUUAAAAAAAUUAAAAUAUUAAAAAAUAAAGGGCUCAUGUGAAUAGAUUAGACACAUCCGCUUGGCCUCCCUUCUGUCAUAUAACUUAACAUGAUUAUGGGGGUGGUAUCUUACCAUGUUCACAUGACCCCCCCCCCCCCCCCCGCACUCCAAAGGUGGGAGGAGUAUAGAAGGGUGGGGGUCAGGGUGCCUAGGUGACUCAGUCAGUUGAGCAUCUGACUUCGGGUCAGGUCAAGAUCUCACGGGUUCAAGCCCCGCAUCAGGUUCUGUGCUGACAGCUCAGAGCCUGGAGCCUGCUUUGAGUUCUUUGUCUCCGUCUCUCUCUGCCCCUUCCCCACUCACGCUGUGUCCCUCUCUCUCUCUCUCAACCUCAAAAAUAAAUGAAUAUGAAAACAAAAUUUUUUUAAAAAAGGGUGAGGGUCACUGGGCACCAUGCUGAGAAGUCAUCCUACGACAGAGGCCCCUUCAUUUCUUGUUUCCAGUUCCUUGCUUCCUGCCCAUCUCUCCCAAUCUGCCUCCUCCUCUACCAUCCACGCGAGGCCGAGGCAAACCUGGGCCUGGACGAGAAUGGUUGCUCCCCAAGUCCUUGGGGCUGGGGGGGGGGGCAGAUAAGGACUUGAACCUCUUCCUUGCAGAGACUCACCUCCUCCCAUCACAGCUGCACCAACCUUGACUAGAAACCAAAAGAACAUUUUGUGAGUGGAUCCAUACUGGCCUCCCCUUUGCUCCCUGAGCCUACAGCCCACCUAUGGGGAGGGCGCUGCCCAGCUUGGGAGACAGGAGGAAAUGACUGCACCUGUCCCCCUCCCUUCUUCUUCACUCGGACAAGGGGGGUUUCUUAGGAAGGUGACUCCCACAGCCCUGAACUUGGUGAGGAUUGCUGGGGAGUCCAAUUCCAGAUGUAAAUGACCUGCCCUGAAGGGAUUUGCAUGCCUCGACCUCAAGUUAUCUGGAGACAGGCUUCAAAGUCCUUGUUUCAGAAAACCCAAUUAUCACAUACAGUUUUUGCUUUGUG